UACAGAGGGUGCAAGCGUUGUUCGGAAUUAUUGGGCGUAAAGCGCGUGUAGGCGGCAGUGCAAGUCGGGUGUGAAAGCCCUCAGCUCAACUGAGGAAGUGCGCCCGAAACUGCAUUGCGUUGAGUACCGGAGAGGAUGGUGGAAAUUCCCGAAGUAGAGAUGAAAUUCGUAGAUAUCGGGAGGAACACCGGUGGCGAAGGCGACCAUCUGGACGGAGUACUGACGCUGAGACGCGAAAGCGUGGGUAGCAAACAGG
rnacentral:rRNA from 1 species